UGCCAGCCGCCGCGGUAAUACGAAGGGUGCAAGCGUUAAUCGGAAUUACUGGGCGUAAAGCGCGCGUAGGCGGUUUGUUAAGCCAGAUGUGAAAGCCCUGGGCUCAACCUGGGAAUUGCAUUUGAUACUGGCAGGCUAGAGUGUGGUAGAGGGAAGUGGAAUUCCAGGUGUAGCGGUGAAAUGCGUAGAUAUCUGGAGGAACAUCAGUGGCGAAGGCGACUUCCUGGACCAACACUGACGCUGAGGCGCGAAAGCGUGGGUAGCAAACAGGAUUAGAUA
rnacentral:rRNA from 1 species